rfam:Fusarium graminearum chromosome 2, complete genome
GUCGGUGUGGCUCAGUUGGUUAGAGCGUUGGUCUCAUAGAGAUAUGACCCGGUUAAACACCAGGGUAAUCCAAAGGUCGAGAGUUCGAGCCUCUCCACCGACA